UGUGCUCUUCGGCUCUGUCAAUACCACCAUGACCGAUAUCCAAACUACAGUGGAAAAGGCUAGCCUCUGGAUUUGCUUAAAAAGAGACGAUGAGCGAUGGUUAGGAGAAUAUUGAGCUGUAUUUAAUAACCAGUUGAUCUAGC